rnacentral:rRNA from 1 species
AUUGAACGCUGGCGGCAGGCCUAACACAUGCCAGUCGAGCGGAUGAAGGGAGCUUGCUCCUGGAUUCAGCGGCGGACGGGUGAGUAAUGCCUAGGAAUCUGCCUGGUAGUGGGGGAUAACGUCCGGAAACGGGCGCUAAUACCGCAUACGUCCUGAGGGAGAAAGUGGGGGAUCUUCGGACCUCACGCUAUCAGAUGAGCCUAGGUCGGAUUAGCUAGUUGGUGGGGUAAAGGCCUACCAAGGCGACGAUCCGUAACUGGUCUGAGAGGAUGAUCAGUCACACUGGAACUGAGACACGGUCCAGACUCCUACGGGAGGCAGCAGUGGGGAAUAUUGGACAAUGGGCGAAAGCCUGAUCCAGCCAUGCCGCGUGUGUGAAGAAGGUCUUCGGAUUGUAAAGCACUUUUAGUUGGGAGGAAGGGCAGUAAGUUAAUACCUUGCUGUUUUGACGUUACCAACAGAAUAAGCACCGGCUAACUUCGUG